GAUUCACCCUUUUCUAUUUAUGUUUGCAAAUUAGGGUUUUCUGUUUGGUAUACCGAGCUCCAAAAGAGGAACUUUCUGGAAGUGCUUUUUUGCGCUCAGGAUUGGAUCGCCCUGUUCGAUGCUACAACCCGGAAACGGUAAUUUUACAUACGCCCUUUUCGUCCUAAAUUUGUCUCAAUACCAAUUUGGGAUAUUUUCUGGAAUUUAACUGCCUUGCUGAAUGGUUAUCCUUUUUACUGCAGUGAAUUUCUUGUAACAGGGGAAAUGCAACGACUGCUCUCUAUAUAAACCAUCUGUUUUGCAGGGCUAACCAUAACUUUUUUGGUUGAAAUUACAGUGUAACAAGUAGAUGUAAUCUCUGCAUUGCUAGGUGGAACCUGAGUAACCUUGGGUGGGGAUAUAUUUGCAUCGCUAUGACUGGAAUUUGCCCUUGGAGGAGUCUUGUGAAUUGGUAGGGAUAGACUUCUGAGGCUGAUUAAAUAAGCAUUUCAACACUAGAGCCUUGAACCACUUGAUACAAAAGUUUGCAGCAGAUGAUUGAGUUGCAGAAGAAGGAUGAUAAGCUACUGCUAACAUACUGUCAAGAUUGGAACUGAAGGUUUGGUUCCACUUCAUCGACUGAAAUACGACUGGCUUCUAUCCGAUGCUGCACUUCUAAAGCCUUUUACUGAAGAACUAUGUAUGAAAGCUUGUAUGGAAGAUUGCUUGUGUUAUGUGGCUAUUUUCAGGUUGGGUAAUAGUUGCUGGAAGAAGAAGUUACCACUCUCAAAUGGGAGAGUUGAUACCACACUUGAAGGUGCCAAGGCCUUCUUGAAAGUGAGAAAAGAUAAUAUCUCCUUUGUUUUUUUUUCCAAAUCCAAUCAAUGGGAACAAGAAUAAUAAGGAAACUUUGGUUUUGAUUAUUUCUGUGCUUUUUGGUGGUUAUGCUAUUCUCAAUGCUGUAUUGAUUGUAACAAUAUGUGCCAGCGCCUCUAUUUUUCAGUACAAGAAGAAGCUUAAAAGUGUCAUCAAAAGUGACACUUAUGUUGAAACCAAUUUACGUUGCUUCACUUUCGAAGAGCUUGAAGAAGCUACUAAUGGAUUUGACAAAGAGCUAGGAAAGGGAGCUUUUGGUAUUGUUUAUGAAGGAGUCGUCAACAACAACACAUGUUCCGAAACUCGUGUGGCUGUGAAAAAGUUGAACAAUUUUUGUUGGAUCAAGCCCAUCGAGAAUUCAGGAAUGAACUGAAUGUCAUUGGUCUCACUCAUCACAAGAACUUGGUUCGUUUACUUGGAUUUUGUGAGGGUGGAUCUGGAAGAUUGCUUGUUUAUGAGUACAUGAGCAAUGGCACUUUGGCAAGCUUACUUUUCAAUGAUGAAGAGUGCAUUACUAGGAUCAUCCAUUGUGACAUAAAGCCUCAGAACAUACUUCUUGAUGAUUACUUCAAUGCGAGAAUUUCUGACUUUGGACUAACCAAGUUGAUGAACAUGAAUCAAAGCAAAAUCAACACUGGCAUUAGGGGAACAAAAGGGUAUGUCGCACUUGAAUGGUUUAAGAACAUGCCUAAUCACAGCUCAAGUGGAUGUGUAUAGUUAUGGUGUAGUGUUACUUGAGAUAAUUUCAUGUAGAAGAUGUGUUCAAGAAAUGGAUGAUGAAGAUGAAGAGAAAGCUAUACUGACAGAUUGGGCUUAUGAUUGUUACAAAGAUGGUGCUGUAAGUGCAUUGGUUGUCAAGUCAUCCAGAAUGCCAUAGAUGUUGUUGAUCUGAAGAUGCAAUCGACCUUAUUGUCUCGACUUUUUUUUUUGAUCAAGUUGUGACAUUAUCAACCCAUCCAUAUGGUUGCCGGGUGAUACAGAGAGUCCUGGAGCACUGUGAAGAUCCUAGCACACGGCAAAAAGUCAUGAAUGAGAUUUUAGGAGCAGUUAGCAUGUUAACCCAGGAUCAGUACGGCAACUAUGUUGUCCAGCAUGUCCUUUUCUACAAAAUUGGAUCCUUGUAUAAUGUAAUCACAGUUGCACCAAUUACACAGAAUAUUGUUCCUGCCACUUUGGCCAAUCCAUUUUUCCAUUCAGUCUCACUUGCUCUAUUCUUAAUAUUAUUGCCAUUAGAAAUGUUGUAGCAGGGACAGAAUUUUGUAUUGCUGAUAAUCUUUAUCCGGUCUUCCAUUUCGAAUACAAUUGAAUUGUUUUUUUUUC